CGACCGGCGCACGGGUGCGUAACGCGUAUGCAACCUACCUGUAACAGGGGGAUAACACUGAGAAAUCGGUACUAAUACCGCAUAACACUAUGAGAGGCAUCUCUUGUGGUUGAAAGUUUCGGCGGUUACAGAUGGGCAUGCGUUGUAUUAGCUGGUUGGUAAGGUAACGGCUUACCAAGGCGACGAUACAUAGGGGGACUGAGAGGUUAACCCCCCCACACUGGUACUGAGACACGGACCAGACUCCUACGGGAGGCAGCAG
rnacentral:rRNA from 1 species